GCCGGUUCGCCGGCUAUGGAAAUAAACGGUCGUCGCAAUAAACCAUUCGGACCCGGGGGCGGUACCCGGCGCCUCCACCA
rnacentral:tmRNA from 5 species